GGAUAGUUCAGUUAGUUAAAGCGUAGGGCUGAGGACGCCAAAGUUGCAGGUUCAAUCCCUGUAUGAGACA